UCCGGAAUUUGUUUCGACAACAGAGUUUGAUCCUGGCUCAGAACGAACGCUGGCGGCAGGCUUAACACAUGCAAGUCGAGCGCCCCGCAAGGGGAGCGGCAGACGGGUGAGUAACGCGUGGGAAUCUACCUUUUGCUACGGAACAACAGUUGGAAACGACUGCUAAUACCGUAUGUGCCCCCCUUUAAAAUUUCAGGAUACAUAAAAUGCCCUGGCAUUUUAUGGGGGGGAAAGAUUUAUCGGCAAAGGAUGAGCCCGCGUUGGAUUAGCUAGUUGGUGAGGUAAAGGCUCACCAAGGCGACGAUCCAUAGCUGGUCUGAGAGGAUGAUCAGCCACACUGGGACUGAGACACGGCCCAGACUCCUACGGGAGGCAGCAGUGGGGAAUAUUGGACAAUGGGCGCAAGCCUGAUCCAGCCAUGCCGCGUGAGUGAUGAAGGCCCUAGGGUUGUAAAGCUCUUUCACCGGUGAAGAUAAUGACGGUAACCGGAGAAGAAGCCCCGGCUAACUUCGUGCCAGCAGCCGCGGUAAUACGAAGGGGGCUAGCGUUGUUCGGAUUUACUGGGCGUAAAGCGCACGUAGGCGGAUUUUUAAGUCAGGGGUGAAAUCCCGGGGCUCAACCCCGGAACUGCCUUUGAUACUGGAAGUCUUGAGUAUGGUAGAGGUGAGUGGAAUUCCGAGUGUAGAGGUGAAAUUCGUAGAUAUUCGGAGGAACACCAGUGGCGAAGGCGGCUCACUGGACCAUUACUGACGCUGAGGUGCGAAAGCGUGGGGAGCAAACAAGAUUAGAUACCCUGGUAGUCCACGCCGUAAACGAUAAAUGUUAGCCGUCGGGGAGUUUACUCUUCGGUGGCGCAGCAAACGCAUAAACAUUCAAGCCAGGUGGCGAGU
rnacentral:rRNA from 2 species